GGGGAAUUUUCCGCAAUGGGCGAAAGCCUGACGGAGCAAGACCGCGUGAGGGAGGAAGGCUCUUGGGUUGUAAACCUCUUUUCUUGGGGAAUAAAAAAAUGAAGGUACCCAAGGAAUCAGCAUCGGCUAACUCCGUGCCAGCAGCCGCGGUAAUACGGAGGAUGCAAGCGUUAUCCGGAAUUAUUGGGCGUAAAGCGUCCGCAGGUGGCACUUCAAGUCUGCUGUCAAAGACCGGGGCUUAACCCUGGAAAGGCAAUGGAAACUGAAGCGCUAGAGUGUCGUAGGGGUAGAGGGAAUUCCUGGUGUAGCGGUGAAAUGCGUAGAGAUCAGGAAGAACAUCGGUGGCGAAAGCGCUCUACUGGACGACAACUGACACUCAGGGACGAAAGCUAGGGGAGCGAAUGGGAUUAGAUACCCCAGUAGUCCUAGCCGUAAACGAUGGAUACUAGGUGUGGCUUGUAUCGACCCGAGCCGUGCCGUAGCUAACGCGUUAAGUAUCC
rnacentral:rRNA from 1 species